rnacentral:rRNA from 1 species
GACGUAGGGCGCGAGCGUUUGUCCGGAUUUAUUGGGCGUAAAGAGCUCGUAGGCGGCUUGUCGCGUCGUCCGUGAAAACUUGGGGCUCAACCCCAAGCUUGCGGUCGAUACGGGCAGGCUGGAGUUCGGUAGGGGAGACUGGAAUUCCCGGUGUAGCGGUGAAAUGCGUAGAGAUCGGGAGGAACACCAGCGGCGAAGGCGGCUCACUGGACAGUUACUGACACUCAACUACGAAAGCGUGGGAGCAAACAGG